rnacentral:tRNA from 1 species
GGGCACGUAGCUCAGUGGAUAGAGCACCAGAUUCCGGUUCUGGUGGUCGGGGGUUCAAAUCCCUCCGUGCUCG